rnacentral:ncRNA from 1 species
GGUUCCGGGGCUUAAAAAGGGAACGGGGUGAAAGUCCCCACGCGGAAACGGCGCUGUAAGUGUCGAUGCGUCCGGUUCGUCGGCGGAAGCCGGUCAUUGGGGAAACCUGAGAAGGCAGGACUGGACACGUUCGAGGCACAAGUCAGAAGACCUACAGGA